GUGGGGAAUAUUGCACAAUGGGCGCAAGCCUGAUGCAGCAACGCCGCGUGAGGGACGACGGCCUUCGGGUUGUAAACCUCUUUUAGUAGGGAAGAAGCGAAAGUGACGGUACCUGCAGAAAAAGCACCGGCUAACUACGUGCCAGCAGCAGCGGUAAUACGUAGGGUGCAAGCGUUAUCCGGAAUUAUUGGGCGUAAAGAGCUCGUAGGCGGUUUGUCGCGUCUGCUGUGAAAACUGGAGGCUCAACCUCCAGCCUGCAGUGGGUACGGGCAGACUAGAGUGCGGUAGGGGAGAUUGGAAUUCCUGGUGUAGCGGUGGAAUGCGCAGAUAUCAGGAGGAACACCAAUGGCGAAGGCAGAUCUCUGGGCCGUAACUGACGCUGAGGAGCGAAAGCAUGGGGAGCGA
rnacentral:rRNA from 1 species